AAUCAACGCUGGCGGCGUGCCUAACACAUGCAAGUCGAACGCGAAAGCCCCUUCGGGGCGAAGUAGAGUGGCGUCCGGGUGAGUAACACGUGGGUAAUCUACCUCCGGGUGGGGAAUAACUCGCCGAAAGGCGGGCUAAUACCGCAUAAUGCAGCGGCACCGAAUGGUGAUUAGUUGUUAAAGCGGGGACCUUGGGCCUCGCGUCUGGAGAGGAGCCUGCGGCAGAUUAGCUUGUUGGUAGGGAAUGGCCUACCAAGGCUGCGAUCUGUAGCUGGUCUGAGAGGACGGCCAGCCACACUGGCACUGACACACGGGCCAGACUCCUACGGGAGGCAGCAGU
rnacentral:rRNA from 1 species